CCUUGCCUGGCCCUGACUCCACAGAGAGGCUACACCCAAUCUUGCAUCAACUCCUGGCUGGGCCAGGGGGUAUAAAAGCCCAGCUGCCCUUUGGGAUGUUGGGAACAGCUACAGCACUGGGGGACUGGAGAAGACCUGUCCUGGGAGUGAGUACCUGCGUAUUGGCUGGGCUCUCUUGAGACGGCUGAGGUUCUGGAAAGUGAGAUGAAGAAAAAUCAACUGCCCUCAAGCCUUAACUCAGCUUCCAGCAGCAGAUUUAUGAAGCAGUGGCUCACCCAAGAAAACAUCAAAUGGGUACCUUCAUUUUCUUCCUGACAUUGAAAAUCUCCAAAUUAUAGCACCCAUAGCUGAUACUCUGUUGAUGUACUCUUACUAUCCACAGCCAUUGCAAUCAGACAGUGUUAUGAUCACUGAUAUGGAAAGACUUGGAGAAAAUGUUAAGAUGAAGCUUUCUGCAUUGAAAGUUUUCAGUGAACUGUGAUUUUACCAUUGUACUUAUUACUCUGACAUUUUAAUUCAUUGCAUUUUUGUCA